CAGCAGCCACGGUAAUACGAAGGGGGCUAGCGUUGUUCGGAAUUACUGGGCGUAAAGCGCACGUAGGCGGAUAUUUAAGUCAGGGGUGAAAUCCCAGAGCUCAACUCUGGAACUGCCUUUGAUACUGGGUAUCUUGAGUAUGGAAGAGGUGAGUGGAAUUCCGAGUGUAGAGGUGAAAUUCGUAGAUAUUCGGAGGAACACCAGUGGCGAAGGCGGCUCACUGGUCCAUUACUGACGCUGAGGUGCGAAAGCGUGGGGAGCGAACGGGAUUAGAUACCCGUGUAGUCCUGUCUCUUAUACC
rnacentral:rRNA from 1 species